rnacentral:snoRNA from 1 species
UGCGAACAGUUCAUAGAAUCAUUUCUACAGUAGACGUCCUCUCACUGUAUUCUCUAAAAGAGCUACAGAAUCUCCACCCUUGCUGAUGACUGCUAUGUCCUCGAUGCCCUAAAGUGAAGCCUUUUACUCCCGUCUCGACUGGGCCCAACUGUGCUGUGUUACAACCUGCCGCAAGGCGGGCUUGUUUCCAGGGCUUGGUGUCUGUGUCCAGGGAGUGGUGAUGAUCUUGGCCUUGUCUCGGCGUCUUGACUUCGGUCGGUCGGACUUGGUGGGUGUCGAGGAGGUCUGAAAGGC